rnacentral:rRNA from 1 species
GACGAACGCUGGCGGCGUGCCUAAUACAUGCAAGUCGAGCGGAACUGGGGGAGCUUGCUCCUUCCAGUUUAGCGGCGGACGGGUGAGUAACACGUGGGCAACCUGCCCUGCAGAUCGGGAUAACUCCGGGAAACCGGUGCUAAUACCGAAUAGUUUGGCGCCUCUCCUGAGGCGCUACGGAAAGACGGUUUCGGCUGUCACUGCAGGAUGGGCCCGCGGCGCAUUAGCUAGUUGGUGGGGUAACGGCCCACCAAGGCGACGAUGCGUAGCCGCCCUGAGAGGGUGACCGGCCACACUGGGACUGAGACACGGCCCAGACUCCUACGGGAGGCAGCAGUAGGGAAUCUUCCGCAAUGGACGCAAGUCUGACGGAGCAACGCCGCGUGAGAGACGAAGGUUUUCGGAUCGUAAAACUCUGUUGUGAGGGAAGAACACGUGCCAACUAACUAUUGGUACCUUGACGGUACCUCGCCAGAAAGCCACGGCUAACUACGUGCCAGCCGCUGCCGUAA